AUUGAACGCUGGCGGCAUGCUUUACACAUGCAAGUCGAACGGCAGCGCGGGCUUCGGCCUGGCGGCGAGUGGCGAACGGGUGAGUAAUGCAUCGGAACGUGCCCAGUAGUGGGGGAUAGCCCGGCGAAAGCCGGAUUAAUACCGCUUACGACCUGAGGGUGAAAGCGGGGGACCGAAAGGCCUCGCGCUAUUGGAGCGGCCGAUGUCGGAUUAGCUAGUUGGUGGGGUAAAGGCUUACCAAGGCGACGAUCCGUAGCUGGUCUGAGAGGACGACCAGCCACACUGGGACUGAGACACGGCCCAGACUCCUACGGGAGGCAGCAGUGGGGAAUUUUGGACAAUGGGGGCAACCCUGAUCCAGCCAUGCCGCGUGCGGGAAGAAGGCCUUCGGGUUGUAAACCGCUUUUGUUCGGGAAGAAAUCCUCUGGGCUAAUACCCCGGGGGGAUGACGGUACCGGAAGAAUAAGCACCGGCUAACUACGUG
rnacentral:rRNA from 1 species